rnacentral:lncRNA from 1 species
AGAUGCAGGGUCUGUGGGCUGCUGCACUGCAAGAGGGCGGGUCUCCUCCACCUUUUGGGACUCCCCAGAGGCCUGGUUUUCCUCCACAGCAUUCAUUACUGCAAUCACCUUGGCUUUCUUCUCAGCCCAUAAGGCCAGGUGCAGCCCCUCUGCAGUACAGCUCAGGAGUACAUGAUGAUGAUACCGUCUGGAUACAUACUGAGCACAUCCUUCUGGGACUGGGUUACCUCACUCAGGAUGAUAUUCUCAAGUUCCAUUCAUUUGCCUUCAAAAUUCAUGAUGUCUUGGUUUUUAAUAGCUGUAUAGUAUUCCAGUGGGUAGAUGUACCACAUUGUCUUUAUGCAUUCUUUAGGUGAGCUAUAUCAAGAUUUUUUCCAGUUUCUUGCUAAUACAAAUAAAGAUUCUAUGUACCUAGUUG